AAAAAACAGACACAUGAUUAUGUCUGUUCAUCUACGCAUCAGAAUCAGCUGGCUAUGUACAUAUAUUGGAGAUUCUGAGAUUUUAUACUAGAACACCACACUAUAUAUUAGAGACAAUGGCUCCAAGAAAUGCAAUGGAGGCAGAAGAACAGCCAUCUAGAGGAACAACAGAGGUCUUGGAUUCAGUUGAACCCAUCAAACAACCAACCCUUCGGAUCGUCUGGAGAAACGUCAUUCUGAUGGCUCUUUUACACUUCGGAGCGAUUUAUGCUCUGACGCUAAUCCCUAAAUCACAUCCAUUGACAUGGCUAUGGUAGGAGGAAAAUGUUCAAAUCUACUCAAUUCAGUAGGGCUUUUGAGACUUGCCACAAGGAUGAACUAGUAGACAUAGGGCGCUUUCCAUUAACGUUGGCAACGUCACAAUGAUCCAACGAGGACGAUUGCAGCUUAAAACUGAUACUUAUCUCAAAAUUUGAUCCAGAAAGUUUGGCUAGUUGCAGUUUUAAUGUAUUUCAAUGUAGUAGGACAAACUGAAGUUUUAGAAAUACUGGUUUUGUAGAACAUGAUAACCUCGACGCCAUAUUGUUUCCUAAUCGGCAACGGUAUAUUGCGUUGCCAUAAUCGCUCGCUGGCGACGCGCGUCCCAGCAAUCGGCAACGAAGGCAACACCGGCAUAUCCGGCGAUUCCAGUUAAAUGGAAAGCACCCAUAUAGUCCCCUUGUGUACUACCUGUUUGCAGCCCUGGGGAUCACCGCCGGAGCGCACCGGCUGUGGGCACACAAGUCGUACAAAGCCCGGGCCCCACUGCGCUGUCUGUUGGCGCUCAUGAAUGCUGCAGCAUUUCAGAAUGACAUUUUUGAUUGGUCACGUGAUCAUAGAGUCCACCAUAAAUACUCGGAAACAGAUGCAGACCCACACAACGCCAAGAGAGGGUUCUUUUUUGCACAUGUCGGGUGGCUGCUGGUCAAAAAACACCCGGAUGUAAGGGAAAAAGGAAAAGGCUUGGAUUUCUCAGAUCUAUAUGCGGACAAAAUCGUCAUGUUGCAAAAAAGGUUCUACCUUCCUCUGAUGGUGACGUUUUGUUUUGUUGUCCCAACGGUCGUUCCCUGUGUCUUCUGGGGAGAAUCACUUUGGAACGCCUACUUUGUCGCUGCCAUAUUACGCUAUUGCGUCGGACUAAACGCCACAUGGUCGGUGAACAGUUUUGCCCAUUUAUGGGGCAUGAAACCUUAUGACAAAAGGAUUAACCCGGCUGAGAACCUUAGUGUGGUGCUAAGCGCGGUGGGUGAGGGGUUCCAUAACUUUCACCACACUUUCCCUAGUGACUACGCUACCAGCGAGUAUGGCUGGCACCUCAAUAUCACGACUGUGUUUAUUAACUGUAUGUACUAUCUAGGACAGGCCUACGACAUGAAAAAGACCCCGGACAGGGUGGUACAGAUGAGGAAACAGCGCACGGGGGACGGAAGCUCGUAAACAUUCCGCGAAUUUCUCCGAAUAAUAUGUAUUGCCAGACAUUAUAUUUCCUAUUCAAUAUUUUGCUUAACUUUUUCAAAGUGAUAGACAAGGGAUUGAAAUAGUGUUCUAGAAAAUCAAUGCAAAAAAGACGUAUCUUGUGGUCUGACUGUGAUAGCAGUCACAUUUAAUAGGUGCUUGGUGUGUUGUUGAUUAAGUUUUUCAUAAAUAAAUCUUGUUUUU
rnacentral:misc_RNA from 1 species